rnacentral:rRNA from 1 species
AUUGAACGCUGGCGGCAUGCUUUACACAUGCAAGUCGAACGGUAACAGGGUGCUUGCACCGCUGACGAGUGGCGAACGGGUGAGUAAUGCGUCGGAACGUGCCGAGUAGUGGGGGAUAACGCAGCGAAGGUUGUGCUAAUACCGCAUACGUACUGAGGUAGAAAGUGGGGGACCUUCGGGCCUCACGCUAUUCGAGCGGCCGACGUCUGAUUAGCUAGUAGGUGAGGUAAAGGCUCACCUAGGCGACGAUCAGUAGCGGGUAUGAGAGGAUGAUCCGGCACGCUGGGACUGCGACACAGCCCAGACUCCUACGGGAGGCAGCGGUGGGAGAUUUUGGACAAUGGGCGAAAGCCUGAUCCAGCAAUGCCGCGUGUGUGAAGAAGGCCUUCAGGUUGUAAAGCACUUUUGUCCGGAAAGAAAUGGCUCUGGUUAAUACCUGGGGUCGAUGACGGUACCGGAAGAAUAAGGACCGGCUAACUACGUGCCAGCCGCCGCGGUAAUAC